rnacentral:lncRNA from 1 species
AGCAUAACUCCAAUCUUCACGUGACAUUAUCCUGUGUACAUGACUAUCUGCAAAUUUCCCUUUUAUAAGCAUACCAGUCAUAUUGGAUUGAGGCCCACCCUACUCAAUUAUGACCUUAAUUACAUAUACAACAACCCUGUUUCCAGAUAAGGUCACAUUCUGAGGUACUGGGGACUAGGACUCCAACAUAUGAAUUUUGGGGGACACAAUUCAAUCCAUAAUAGCAAUGUAGGAUCACAUUAGGGGAAACGGAAACUGGGUGAGAGGUACGUAAGAACUCUGUACUAUCUUUUUAACUUUUCAAUAGAUCUAAAACUGUAAAAUAAUAAAAAAUUAUCUUAAAAACUUAUUUCUAUAAAGUCAGGUAAUAAAAUAUAACAUUUUCUUAAUAAGCAGAAUAAAGAGAUUUCCCACAUCCAGCUGAACCCAUAAUCUCAGUAAGAUUUUUUGUUUUUAAUUAAGGGGGCAACCACAGGUAAAAUGGUGAAAACCAAAGUUGCCCUGGUUUGCAACACUACUGAUUUAGUGUCUAUCUUUCUCAGGCACUUUUCCAUAAACUAUUAGCAAAAAUGGAAUGCCAUACCUUAUUCUGCACCUCCCACUGUUAAUUCAGCAACUUGCCAUGGUCAUCUUCCCAUGUCACUACUACAGAUAAAGCUGUCUUAUUUUUUUUCUAUGUUUCUAUGGUAAAACAAAACACACACACAGACAACCACCGAAAGUAUAAUAUAGAACUUAGUCAAUUACUAUAAUGCAAAACUCUUGUAACCACUACCUAGGUCAAGAAAUGGAAUUUAGCCGCUGAGGGAUGCAAUCUGGCAUAAGCGCUGGAAAUUUCUCUGUACCUUACUGCUGGGUGUGCUAUGAAUAGGUAUGCCAUGAACCCAAGGGCCUGACCACUCCUUGCCUGGGUCAUUUUCAAGGUAGCCACCAUGAAGAAAAAGGUCUUUUGCUGUAGACUCCACGAAGAAGAAGGUUUUUGCUGUGAGCCACCAUGAAGAAGAAGGUAUUGCCAAAGGAGAUUAACAUUCAAGUCGGUGGACUGGGAGAGGCAGACCCACCCUCAGUCUGAGUGGGCACCAUCUAAUCAGCUUCCAGAGUGGCUAGAAUAAAAGCAGGCAGAAGUUGGAAGGACUUGACUUGCUGAGUCUUCCAGCCUUCAUCUUUCUCCGGCACUGGAUGCUUCCUGCCUUCAAACAUCAGCUUCCAAGUUCUUCAGCUUUUGAACUCUUGGACUUAUACCAGUGGUUUGCCAGAGGCUCUUGGGCCUUUGGCCACAGACUGGAGGCUGCACUGUCAGCUUCCUAACUUGUGAGGUUUUGGGACUCAGACUGAUCCAUCACUGGCUUCCUUGCUCCUCAAUUUGCGGACGGCCUAUCAUGGGACUUUAUCUUGUGAUCAUGUGAGUCAAUUCUCCUUAAUAAACUCCCUUUCAU